UGAUAGCGACCCACAGGUCAGGAACCUUUCUGUGUGUUUUGGAUUUUUAAACAAGGCCUUGUGAGGUUACAUAAACUGAGAUGUAAAAGCUGACGCAUUAUCACGUCCUGUGACAAACGCUCGCACUCACUCAUUUUGUAAUGCCAGUAAGCUGAAAAUGUUCCAGCAAUGUCUGUGGUAGCAAAUAACAUUCAGUAUUUAUUUCCAGGCUUGGGGGUGUCCCUAGGUAUCGUAUUCCUCUGCUUCUAUUAUCACAUGAAAAAGAAAAGCGCAACAUACGAUGUUAACAUACCGACGCAAGAAGGCGAUGCUCCUUCGCCAAUCAACACGGUAUCUUCAUCAGAGGAACUGCAGCGAGAAGCGGGCAGAGUUUAUGACAGAUAUCCGCCUCGCUACAGCACUGUGGAUCACCCGCCGCCGUACUCACUGUUUGACCCCAAUCUGACAAGCUUUGUGCCAGGUGGGCCGCCGCCUGCCUAUGAGAUGUACCCUAUAACGCUACCUCUGGCGCCUCUUUACUGAACGACAUCCACAGAACCAGUAUGGCAGACGUCACCAUCCUAACUUAUUAAUCACAAACCAGCCAUGUCCCCAGAGGCCACGCAGGAUAUCCUCCGGCUGAACUACACUUUGAUUUUCAACAAACGUGUAGGCUAUUGUUCUCUGUAUAUUUUGAAAAUAGUGUGUAUAUUACUAAUGUAUAUUAAAGAUCUCAUCUCAUUCUCA